AUACGGAGGAUCCGAGCGUUAUCCGGAUUUAUUGGGUUUAAAGGGUGCGCAGGCGGGAGAUUAAGUCGGCGGUGAAAUUUUGCAGCUCAACUGUAAAAGUGCCUUCGAAACUGGGUUCCUUGAGUGUAGAUGAAGUAGGCGGAAUUUGUGGUGUAGCGGUGAAAUGCAUAGAUAUCACGAGGAACUCCGAUUGCGCAGGCAGCUUACUAAACUACUACUGACGCUCAGGCACGAAGGCGUGGGGAUCAAACAGGAGUAGAUACCCUGGUAGUCCACGCAGUAAACGAUGAUUACUAGCUGUUUGCGAUACAAUGUAAGCGGCUGAGCGAAAGCGUUAAGUAAUCCACCUGGGGAGUACGUUCGCAAGAAUGAAACUCAAAGGAAUUGACGGGG
rnacentral:rRNA from 1 species